rnacentral:misc_RNA from 1 species
ACGCCAUGAACCUAUGGAACUCCCAGAAGUUGGAUCUUCAUUCUCAGAUAGUAUCUUAGAAGAGAUCUGCAAUUCGGCUGCCAAAAUGGCCAAUAACUUGGAGGUGGAUGCAAUUUUCGUCUAUACAACAUCAGGCCACAUGGCAUCUCUCCUGUCCCGUUGCCGACCCGAUUGUCCAAUCUUUGCUUUUACUUCCACAACAUCUGUGAGGAGACGUCUUAACUUG